AGGUGAUCCUUUCUAUGCAAAGAACUUGCCUCAGAGUUGAAACUCAUGCAGAUGUGAAUAAGUAUGAAGACAGAGCUAUUCUUGAGAGGAGGCUUUAGGCCCAUCCUGUCAGUGGGAGAGAUGCAAAGGUGCUUUGGAAGCUGCUUUUGGGAAGAUCUGGAGUCAUUCGAAGAAAACUACAAAAAUGAUAAAGCAUUUCUGAUUGGAUUUACCAUACCCUCCACUCUCUCAGGAACAAAAUUUCUACUGCAUUUUGAUUAUUCUGCCAAAUUACAGAUCUGCAAGCUUUGUGUCUUUAGGAGCUCUUUUUGUUUUACGUACAUGAACUCUGGAGUCAAAUUUUGGCUCAGGCACUUUUUGUAAUCUUGCACAGUGCACCUGCUAACAGCUCAAAGGAGAACACACACUGUCUCCUGCUGGACUGGCUAUUGAUUUGAUUCCCGCCUCUAAUUUUAUAUUGUUUUGCUGCCCUGUGGAUGAAGCAACUCUUUUACUGGAUGAAAUGAACAUGGAAGCCGUGAACGGAUGGCUUUUGGUUGUUGUGUUCAAGAGCCUAGAGGGCAACAGGCUCUUCACAGGAUAAGGACAGCUGGGCUGACAGUGGAUCCAAGCUUUUCUGUCCCAGUGUGCCUUGCUUUUCACUUUUAUCCACAUUGAAGGCAUUUCACUGUAUGGACCCUGCUAGAAAAUUGCAGAAAGAUCACUAGGAAUUCCCAACCUUGAAAUCAGAAGCUGGUAAUAUUCAACAACUACAAACACACACAAAUGGGAAUCCUGGAUUAAAGAUGGAGAUACACCAGUUUCCUCUCAGUCUAACCACCUCACCGUAACCAUCUCCAUGCUGCAAGGAAAGUUCCCUUUAUUCUUUGUAAUCCUGAGCACGUGAUUCUAGCUGAGAUGUUCUCCUUUCCUCUUCUCUGUCUUUAUCUGUUUUCAAUUAAAAUAAAAUGAGGCUACCUCAUUGCAUCAUGAAAA